rnacentral:rRNA from 1 species
UACGAAGGGAGCUAGCGUUGUUCGGAAUCACUGGGCGUAAAGCGUGCGUAGGCGGCUGCGCAAGUCGGGUGUGAAACCCCGGGGCUCAACCCCGGAACUGCAUCCGAUACUGCGUGGCUAGAGGUAGGUAGGGGAGAUCGGAAUUCCUGGUGUAGCGGUGAAAUGCGCAGAUAUCAGGAGGAACACCGGUGGCGAAGGCGGAUCUCUGGGCCUUACCUGACGCUCAGGCACGAAAGCUAGGGGAGCGAACAGG